GUUACAGGUCGGACCCCUACUGGCUUCAGGUAGAACCCGGUCCGGUUUCCAAGUCGGACCUAGGCCAACCCUGGUCCCAGUCCAGAAAAAGAAAUGCUGGAAGUCUGAAAGCUCCUGACAGAAAGCUGCAGUGCGAGGAUUGGAGAGAGGCUCGGUUACCUCUGGAAGCAGCAAGAAAGCGUGAGCUCAGGAGCUCAGCAGACAAACCUGGGUUAAUUCACUGGAGGAAUAUGGGAAACACGUGGAGGAGAGCAGUCAUUUCAGCCAAGGCCACCUAGUUCAGCAAGUCCGCAGCUGGCCUGUACACUGACUGCAGACACGUGAGUGGGCCAAGACGACAUGAACCAGGCCGAGCCCAGGUCGCCAGAGCUGCCCGAUCCUUCUAGACUUGAGUCUCCUUUGUACUCCCAGUACAUACACUUCUGUAACUUUGCCACACCAUCAUAUGAGACAUACCCAGAUGUGUUCCUGUCCUGGUCCAGGAUGGAGCUGGGAUAUCCCAUUGCAGCUGUUUUGAAAUCUGCCGCCUGUGUCCAGAGAGGAGCAUGGGGAGCCAAGAGUGAGAACAUUUAAGACUUACUUUUCUGGCAACUUUCAGGGAGAAGACAUGGAAGUUGUGCAUUUGGAGCCCUCCCAGACAGACCAUGCACCCUGUGUCCCUUCUUUUCACUGGUUCUGUGUUGUAUUCUUUUGCUGUAAUAAAACUGUUAUAGUAUAGAACUUCCUGAGUUCUGUAAGUAGUGUCAGCAAAUUUUCAAACCUAAUAAUGGGAACUCCCAAAUUUGUGGCCAGUUUGUCAGAAGUGCAGGUGGUCUGGGAACCUCUGAAUGUAUGGCUGGUGUUUGAAAUGAAUGCAGUCUUGUGGAGGCCUGAGCCCUUAAUCUGUGAAGUUUCACUUUCCUCCAAGUAGUAUCAGAAUUUCAUUGUAGCCGUACUUUACAGAUGGAGAAAUGGAGGCAGACAGAGAUCAAAUAAUUUUUCCAAAGUCCCACAGCUAGUAAGUGGCAGCAUCAGGAAUUAAAUCCAGGCUCUCUACCUGCUCAUCAUCCGUAUGCUGUUUUCUCUUUUGAUUGAAGAGCUUUUUUCAGUUUUCAAUACAUGUAGGAUUAGAAUGAAUCAGUAAGAAUUUGUUACCCUGUCCACAUUUUGAUUUUGAACU